rnacentral:rRNA from 1 species
CAGUAGCCGCGGUAAUACGAAGGGUGCAAGCGUUACUCGGAAUUACUGGGCGUAAAGCGUGCGUAGGUGGUGGUUUAAGUCCGUUGUGAAAGCCCUGGGCUCAACCUGGGAAUUGCAGUGGAUACUGGGUCACUAGAGUGUGGUAGAGGAUAGUGGAAUUUCCGGUGUAGCGGUGAAAUGCGUAGAGAUCGGAAGGAACAUCUGUGGCGAAGGCGACUAUCUGGGCCAACACUGACACUGAGGCACGAAAGCGUGGGGAGCAAACAGGAUUAGAUACCCCUGUAGUCCCUGUCUCUUAUAC